GGAGAGACAAGCCGAAAGCUGGCGACGGCACCCGAUUUGAACUUGGACGAGACCGUGAGGUCCUUGGGAGUUCGACCCUCCCUCUCUCCG
rnacentral:tRNA from 1 species